UGGGGAAUAUUGGACACUGGGCGAAAGCCUGAUCCAGCCAUGCCGCGUGUGUGAAGAAGGCCUUUUGGUUGUAAAGCACUUUAAGCGAGGAGGAGGCUACUAGUACUAAUACUACUGGAUAGUGGACGUUACUCGCAGAAUAAGCACCGGCUAACUCUGUGCCAGCAGCCGCGGUAAUACAGAGGGUGCGAGCGUUAAUCGGAUUUACUGGGCGUAAAGCGUGCGUAGGCGGCUGAUUAAGUCGGAUGUGAAAUCCCUGAGCUUAACUUGGGAAUUGCAUUCGAUACUGGUUAGCUAGAGUGUGGGAGAGGAUGGUAGAAUUCCAGGUGUAGCGGUGAAAUGCGUAGAGAUCUGGAGGAAUACCGAUGGCGAAGGCAGCCAUCUGGCCUAACACUGACGCUGAGGUACGAAAGCAUGGGGAGCAAACAGG
rnacentral:rRNA from 1 species